rnacentral:rRNA from 1 species
CGGGACGCAGCAGUGGGGAAUUUUGGACAAUGGGGGCAACCCUGAUCCAGCAAUGCCGCGUGAGUGAAGAAGGCCUUCGGGUUGUAAAGCUCUUUUGUCAGGGAAGAAACGGUCUGGGCUAAUACCCUGGGCUAAUGACGGUACCUGAAGAAUAAGCACCGGCUAACUACGUGCCAGCAGCCGCGGUAAUACGUAGGGUGCAAGCGUUAAUCGGAAUUACUGGGCGUAAAGCGUGCGCAGGCGGUUAUGUAAGACAGAUGUGAAAUCCCCGGGCUUAACCUGGGAAUGGCAUUUGUGACUGCAUAGCUAGAGUGUGUCAGAGGGGGGUAGAAUUCCACGUGUAGCAGUGAAAUGCGUAGAUAUGUGGAGGAAUACCGAUGGCGAAGGCAGCCCCCUGGGAUAACACUGACGCUCAUGCACGAAAGCGUGGGGAGCAAACAGGAUUAGAUACCCUAGU